rnacentral:rRNA from 1 species
GUGGGGAAUCUUAGACAAUGGGGGAAACCCUGAUCUAGCCAUGCCGCGUGAGCGAUGAAGGCCUUAGGGUUGUAAAGCUCUUUCAGCUGGGAAGAUAAUGACGGUACCAGCAGAAGAAGCCCCGGCUAACUCCGUGCCAGCAGCCGCGGUAAUACGGAGGGGGCUAGCGUUGUUCGGAAUUACUGGGCGUAAAGCGCGCGUAGGCGGACCAGAAAGUUGGAGGUGAAAUCCCAGGGCUCAACCUUGGAACUGCCUUCAAAACUCCUGGUCUGGAGUUCGAGAGAGGUGAGUGGAAUUCCGAGUGUAGAGGUGAAAUUCGUAGAUAUCCGGAGGAACACCGGUGGCGAAGGCGGCCACCUGGACAGGUACUGACGCUGAGGCGCGAAAGCGUGGGGAGCAAACAGGAUUAGAAACCCGAGUAGUCC